AACCGCCGUAUGCGGACCCGCAUGUACGGUGGUGUGAGAGGACGGGGGUUAGUCACCCUCUCCUACUCGAU
rfam:Paenibacillus macerans strain 8244 genomic scaffold scaffold1, whole genome shotgun sequence.